UACGUAGGAGGCGAGCGUUGUCCGGAAUUACUGGGCGUAAAGAGCGCGUAGGCGGCACGGUACGACCGGUGUGAAAGCCCCCCGGCUCAACUGGGGGAGGGUCACCGGUAACGGUCGAGCUAUGAGUGCAGGAGAGGGAAGUGGAACUCCGGGAGUAGCGGUGAAAUGCGUAGAGACCCGGAGGAACACCAGUGGCGAAAGGCGGCUUCCUGGUCUGCGACUGACGCUGUGGGCGCGAAAAGCUAGGGGGGAGC
rnacentral:rRNA from 1 species